UCCCCGUUUAAGCGAGGCAGUCUGUCCAGAGUGCUUCCCGAUCUAUCGGGAGUGGCAACAGGACACAAGGGUUGCGCUCGUUGCGGGACUUAACCCAACAUUUCACGACACGAGCUGACGACAGCCAUGCAGCACCUGUGCAAGCUCCCCUUGCGGGGUCGUCCCACUUUCAUGGUUCUACCACUUGCAUGUCAAGGCCAGGUAAGGUUCUUCGCGUUGCAUCGAAUUAAGCCACAUACUCCACCGCUUGUGCAGGCUCCCGUCAAUUUCUUUGAGUUUUAAUCUUGCGACCGUACUUCCCAGGCGGCACGUUUAGCGCGUUAGCUUCGCCACAAGCAGGGUCGAAUCCGCUUACAGCAAACGUGCACCGUUUACGGCUAGGACUAC
rnacentral:misc_RNA from 1 species